rnacentral:rRNA from 1 species
AACGUAGGACGCAAGCGUUAUCCGGAGUUACUGGGCGUAAAGCGCGGGCAGGCGGUUGCUCAAGUCUGAUGUGAAAUCUCCUCGCUCAACGGGGAGCAGCCAUUGGAAACUGGGCAACUGGAGUCUGGCAGAGGUAGGCGGAAUUCCGGGUGGAGUGGUGAAAUGCGUAGAGAUCCGGAGGAACACCAGAGGCGAAGGCGGCCUACUGGGCCAGUACUGACGCUGGGCCGCGAAAGCCAGGGGAGCGAACGGG